UACGUAGGUCCCGAGCGUUGUCCGGAAUUACUGGGUGUAAAGGGUGCGCAGGCGGUCUUGUGCGUCAGAAGUGAAAUAUCACGGCUUAACCGUGAGGGUGCUUUUGAUACGGCAAGACUUGAGUACGGGAGAGGAUGAUGGAAUUCCUGGUGUAGCGGUGAAAUGCGUAGAUAUCAGGAGGAACACCGGUGGCGAAGGCGGGUCUCUGGGCAGUGAACUGACGCUGAGGAGCGAAAGCGUGGGGAGCGAACAGG
rnacentral:rRNA from 1 species